GAGCCAUGGCGGCAGUUGUGAUCGUCAUUUCCGGGUCAGCCCAGCAAACUGAGACGUUUGUGCGCAUGAGGUGGCGCACAAACAUCUGUUUACAGGUGGACGGGAUACCGCCAUUAAUGGCUAUCGCACUUUGAUUGAACAACUGGAGUUGACAGGCCGGGUGACCCCACUGCAGGCCAAAAAAAAGUGGGAUGACCUUAAAACAAAAUAUAAGGUGAGGAGUAAGAUGACAGCAAUAUUGUUUUGACAUUAAGUGCCUUCUUGCUGUGCCAUAGUUGUAGGUAUAACAGGGAAAUAUUAGAUUGCUAGUUGCCUUGUUGUUUAUCAUAUUUUUAUUGUCAGUAUUGCAAGGGCCCUGCCUCAGGUCAAGGCACAGAGGACGGCAGGCCCACAGCAGGGACAUGGUGCUGGUUUGCCUUAAUGGACAAGCUCAUUGGCAGGUCAGGAGCCGUGUCACCGCCAGUGGUAGUGGGCUCUCUCCCAGCCAGGCCAGGCCAGGUUAGGGUCAGAGUGGAGGAGGAGGAUGAGGUGGUGAGAGGAGGGAGAGCAGGAGCCAGCACAGCGACAGCCGCAGGGGCAGGAGCAGCAGGGGCAGUUGAAGCAGGGGCAGUUGAAGCAGGGGCAGGAGCAGCGGGCGCAGCAGGGGCAGGAGCAGCGGGCGCAGCAGGGGCAGGAGCAGCGGGCGCAGCAGGGGCCGGAGCAGGGAGAAGAGGGAGGGAGGAUCCAUUCCUGCUUCUGGUGAGGGAGGAUAUCCUUUACCAGCGGCAGGCGGAUGAGAGGAGAGAGGUGGAGUCAAGGGAGCGGUUUGACCGUUUCUUCUCUCUCCUUGAGCGUUUGGUUGAGAGGCGUGAAUGAAUGAAGGAUGGUAUGUAUGUAUGUAUGUAUGUAUGUAUGUAUGUAUGUAUGUAUGUAUGAAUGUAUGAAUGAAUGAGAUCCGAUCAGUUAUUAUUUAUAAAAAUAAAUACAUAUUUAUCAAC
ensembl:lncRNA